rnacentral:ncRNA from 1 species
UACCUAGUUGAUCCUGCUAGUAAUCAUAUGCUUCUUUCAAAGAUUAAGCCAUACAUGUGUAAGUAUGAACUAAUUCAGACUAUGAAACUGCGAAUGGCUCAUUAAAUCAAUUAUAAUUUGUUUGAUGGUAUCUGCUACUCGGAUAACCAUAGUAAUUCUAGAGCUAAUAUGUGCAACAAACCCCAACUUCUGGAAGGGAUGCAUUUAUUAGAUAAAAGGUCAACGAGGGCUCUGCCCGUUGCUCUGAUGAUUCAUGAUAACUCGACGGAUCGCACGUCCUUAGUGCCGGCGACGCAUCAUUCAAAUUUUUGUCCUAUCAACUUUCGAUGGUAGGAUAGAGGCCUACCAUGGUGGUGAAGAGUGACGGAGAAUUAGGGUUCGAUUCCGGAAAGAGAGCCUGAGAAACGGCUACCGCAUCCAAAGAAGGCAGCAGGCGCGCAAAUUACCCAAUCCUGACACGUGGAGGUAGUGACAAUAAAUAACAAUUCCGGUAAUUGGAAUGAGUACAAUCUAAAUCUCUUAACGAGGAUCCAUUAGAGGGCAAGUCUGGUACCAGCAGCGCGGUAAUUCCAGCUCCAAUAGCGUAUAUUUAAGUUGUUGCAGUUAAAAAGCUCAUAGUUGGACCUUGGGUUGAGUCAACCAGUCUGCCUAGCGGUGUGCACUUGUCGUCUCGUCCAUUCUGCCGGCGAUGCGCUCCUGGCCUUAACUGGCUGAGUCAUGCCUCCGGCGCUGUUACUUUGAAAAAAUUAGAGUGCUCAAAGCAAGCCUACGCUCUGUAUACAUUAGCAUGGGAUAAAAUCAUAGGAUUUUGGGUCUAUUCUGUUGGCCUUCGGGAUCAGAAUAAUGAUUAACAAGGACAGUCAGGGGCAUUCAUAUUUCAUAGUUAGAGGUGAAAUUCUUAGAUUUAUGAAAGACAAAUAACUGCGAAAGCAUUUGCCAAAGAUGUUUUCAUUAAUCAAGAAUGAAAGUUGGGGGCUCGAAGACAAUCAGAUAUCGUCCUAGUCUCAACCAUAAACGAUCCCGACUAGGGAUCGGCGGAUGUUGUAAUGACUGUCUCUCUUAUUAUGCGACUCUUCUCCUACUAAAACUAUGAGACUUAUCCUUUCAUUCUCUGCUCCAUCUUCUUCUACAUGCCCAUCAGAAAGCCAUGCGAAAUCAAGA